rnacentral:rRNA from 1 species
UACGUAGGUGUCAAGCGUUGUUCGGAUUUAUUGGGCGUAAAGGGUCCGCAGGUGGCCUGGCAAGUCUGAUGUGAAAUCCCGAAGCUCAACUUCGGAACUGCAUUGGAAACUGCUAGGCUAGAGUAUCGGAGAGGAGAUUGGAAUUCCAGGUGUAGCGAUAAAAUGCGUAGAUAUCUGGAAGAACAUCGAAAGCGAAGGCAGAUCUCUGGACGGUUACUGACACUCAGGGACGAAAGCAUGGGGAGCAAACAGGAUUAGAUACCCUGGUAGUCCAUGCCCUAAACGGUGUGAACUUGAUGUAGGAGGAUUUACUCCCUUCUGUGUCGAAGCUAACGCGUUAAGUUCACCGCCUGGGAACUACGGCCGCAAGGCUAAA